rnacentral:rRNA from 1 species
AACGAACGCUGGCGGCAUGCCUAACACAUGCAAGUCGAACGAGACCUUCGGUUCUAGUGGCGCACGGGUGCGUAACGCGUGGGAACCUGCCCUUAGGUUCGGAAUAACUCCCCGAAAGGGGUGCUAAUACCGGAUAAUGUCUUCGGACCAAAGAUUUAUCGCCUUUGGAUGGGCCCGCGUUGGAUUAGCUAGUUGGUAGGGUAAAAGCCUACCAAGGCGACUAUCCAUAGCUGGUCUGAGAGGAUGAUCAGCCACACUGGGACUGAGACACGGCCCAGACUCCUACGGGAGGCAGCAGUGGGGAAUAUUGGACAAUGGGCGAAAGCCUGAUCCAGCAAUGCCGCGUGAGUGAUGAAGGCCUUAGGGUUGUAAAGCUCUUUUACCCGGGAUGAUAAUGACAGUACCGGGAGAAUAAGCUCCGGCUAACUCCGUG